rnacentral:lncRNA from 1 species
CCACACCCGUCUACUGCAUCAGAAACUCUGGAAUCUGGGUCUUAACAAACCCUCCAAGUGAUCCUGAUGCCGGCUCAAGUUUGACCCCAAAUUAGAGGGACACAAUGAGAAGGCUGGCACUCCAGGGUGGGACAUUCCCCGGGUCCCCCAAAGCAUCAGUCAAGUCUACCCAGGUGAUGAAUUUGCUUCGUGCAAGUGGGUAUCUUAUACAAGCUAGCCAAGUUGGUGAAUUCCACAUCCAUUGUUGAUGCAGCGUGCGCAAAGACCACAGGAGAAUGUGGGCUCAGAGCACAAGCCGGCGGGAAUUAACGAAAAUUCUGGGAGAGACUUUGACUUUCACAGACUCGGAAACUGACCCAUUUGUACAUUGGUGUUGAAGAGGCAAGAAGGCUCCAGAUGGUGUUUGGGUCACAAUACAUUUACGUGCCUUCAGAGGAGAAGGGGAACUCCUGACGUGUGAGGCAGAGUGCUGGGCACUUGACGCAGCUUCUCUGUUACCCUCACACCAGCCCUUCGAGGCAGGCGGCCUCAUACCCUGUUGUGCACGAGGGGACUGCAGCUCUGAAUGGCCCAGUAAUUUGCCGAAGGUAAAUGACAAAGCCAGAACUAGCUACCAGGUCAUUCCGACUCCAGAACCUCAGCUUUCACUCUUACAUUUGGUCUGAAUGGGCAUCUCUGUGAAGAAUUUGCCCUGGUGUCUGGGCUUCAGAGACAUCCUGCCACAGCAGCCCCUGCCAGCUCGUCUGCAGGAUCCAUCGAUGAUCUGCCCCUUACUACUCCUCUCCGCUCCAGCAGGACAGGCCAGCUCCUGACGCCACCCAGGAGAGCCCCGGGGAGCCCUGCAGAGGGCUGGAGGUGCCGUGCAGCUCACGGUCAUUGUUGUCAUCCUUCUCCAGGCCUGCCUUGAGUACCAAGAAACUGCCAGGACUCUGCAGACAGGUCCAGCACUCACUGCGUUUCUUCAUCUCUAAAACAGACUGUAACUGUGGCUCCCGCGUAGGUUGUUGUAAGGAUCAAAUCAGUGAAAAUGGGAAGAGUUCUAGGAAGAAGGCGUGAUGCUAGGUUUAGGAGCAUGGAGUCCAAUCCUCCCGGCUCUAAGCAGGACCCAGCCAGCCUGCUCUACCCAGAGCCUUCCUUAGCUACUCCCAGCCACGCAAUGUCAAUCACAACCUCCUGCCUCUCCGGCAGGCCAGCUUUCAGAGAGAGCUGGCCGCUGCUUCUGGGGGCUUUGCGAGGAACAGCUGGCAAAUUCUCCUUCCUGCUGAGGGCCCCUCUGCUUGGAUCCUCAGCCGACAGGACUCCAUCUGCUG